rnacentral:rRNA from 1 species
UGCCAGACUCCUACGGGAGGCAGCAGUGAGGAAUAUUGGUCAAUGGGCGAGAGCCUGAACCAGCCAAGUCGCGUAAGGGAAGACGGUCCUAUGGAUUGUAAACCUCUUUUGCCGGGGAGCAAAAAGCGGUACGUGUACCGCAUCGAGAGUACCCGGAGAAAAAGCCCCGGCUAACUACGUGCCAGCGGCCGCGGUAAUACGUAGGGGGCAAGCGUUAUCCGGAAUUACUGGGUGUAAAGGGAGCGUAGACGGUGAUGUAAGUCUGGAGUGAAAGGCGGGGGCCCAACCCCCGGACUGCUCUGGAAACUAUGUGACUGGAGUGCAGGAGAGGUGAGCAGAAUUCCUAGUGUAGCGGUGAAAUGCGUAGAUAUUAGGAGGAACACCAGUGGCGAAGGCGGCUCACUGGACUGUAACUGACGUUGAGGCUCGAAAGCGUGGGGAGCAAACAGGAUUAGAUACCCCUGUAU